AGUGAACGCUGGCGGUAGGCCUAACACAUGCAAGUCGAACGGCAGCACAGUAAGAGCUUGCUCUUACGGGUGGCGAGUGGCGGACGGGUGAGGAAUACAUCGGAAUCUACUUUUUCGUGGGGGAUAACGUAGGGAAACUUACGCUAAUACCGCAUACGACCUACGGGUGAAAGCAGGGGAUCUUCGGACCUUGCGCGAUUGAAUGAGCCGAUGUCGGAUUAGCUAGUUGGCGGGUAAAGGCCCACCAAGGCGACCAUCCGUAGCUGGUCUGAGAGGAUGAUCAGCCACACUGGAACUGAGACACGGUCCAGACUCCUACGGGAGGCAGCAGUGGGGAAUAUUGGACAAUGGGCGCAAGCCUGAUCCAGCCAUACCGCGUGGGUGAAGAAGGCCUUCGGGUUGUAAAGCCCUUUUGUUGGGAAAGAAAAGCAGCAGGUUAAUACCCCGCUGUUCUGACGGUACCCAAAGAAUAAGCACCGGCUAACUUCGUG
rnacentral:rRNA from 1 species